rnacentral:rRNA from 1 species
CGUGCCUAACACAUGCAAGUCAACUUGACUGAAGGAGCAAUCUGACAGUAGAGUGGCGCAAGGGUGCGUAACGCGUAAGUAACUUGCCCCAAGGUAAGGAAUAACGUCGAGAAAUCGGCGCUAAUACCUCAUAAUGCAGCGGAUCCGCAUGGAUAUGUUGUUAAAGGUUUACCGCCUUGGGAUAGGCUUGCGUCUGAUUAGCUAGUUGGUGUGGUAACGGCACACCAAGGCUACGAUCAGUAACUGGUCUGAGAGGAUGAUCAGUCACACUGGAACUGAGACACGGUCCAGACUCCUACGGGAGGCAGCAGUGAGGAAUAUUGGGCAAUGCUCGAAAGAGUGACCCAGCAACGCCGCGUGGAGGAUGAAGGUAUUCUAUAUCGUAAACUCCUGUGAGAGCAGACGAAAGACAGAUUAUUAAUCUGGAUGACUGUAUGCUCAGAGGAAGCCCCGGCUAACUACGUG